rnacentral:rRNA from 1 species
GACGAACGCUGGCGGCGUGCUUAACACAUGCAAGUCGAGCGGUAAGGCCCUUUCGGGGGUACACGAGCGGCGAACGGGUGAGUAACACGUGGGUGACCUGCCCUCAGCUCUGGGAUAAGCCCGGGAAACUGGGUCUAAUACUGGAUAUGACUCCACGGUGCAUGCCGUGGGGUGGAAAGCCUUGUGCGGCUGAGGAUGGGCCCGCGGCCUAUCAGCUUGUUGGUGGGGUGAUGGCCUACCAAGGCGACGACGGGUAGCCGGCCUGAGAGGGCGACCGGCCGACACUGGGACUGAGACACGGCCCAGACUCCUACGGGAGGCAGGCAGUGGGGAAUCUUGCGCAAUGGGCGAAAGCCUGACGCAGCGACGCCGCGUGAGGG